GACGAACGCUGGCGGCGUGCUUAACACAUGCAAGUCGAACGGAAAGGCCCUGCUUGCAGGGUACUCGAGUGGCGAACGGGUGAGUAACACGUGGGUGAUCUGCCCUCCACUUCGGGAUAAGCCUUGGAAACUGGGUCUAAUACCGGAUAGGAGCCAUUUUUAGUGUGAUGGUUGGAAAGUUUUUUCGGUGUAGGAUGAGCUCGCGGCCUAUCAGCUUGUUGGUGGGGUAAUGGCCUACCAAGGCGGCGACGGGUAGCCGGCCUGAGAGGGUGGACGGCCACAUUGGGACUGAGAUACGGCCCAGACUCCGACGGGAGGCAGCAGUGGGGAAUAUUGCACAAUGGGCGCAAGCCUGAUGCAGCGACGCCGCGGGGGGGAUGACGGCCUUCGGGUUGUAAACUCCUUUCGCUAGGGACGAAGCUUUUUGUGACGGUACCUAGAUAAGAAGCACCGGCUAACUACGUG
rnacentral:rRNA from 1 species